rnacentral:rRNA from 1 species
UAGAGUUUGAUCCUGGCUCAGAUUGAACGCUGGCGGCAUGCCUUACACAUGCAAGUCGAACGGCAGCACGGGGGCAACCCUGGUGGCGAGUGGCGAACGGGUGAGUAACACAUCGGAACGUACCCAGUUGUGGGGGAUAACCCACCGAAAGGUGGGCUAAUACCGCAUGAUCUGGCGACAGCAAAGCGGGGGAUCGCAAGACCUCGCGCGAUUGGAGCGGCCGAUGUCCGAUUAGCUAGUUGGUGGGGUAAAGGCCUACCAAGGCGACGAUCGGUAGCUGGUCUGAGAGGAUGAUCAGCCACACUGGGACUGAGACACGGCCCAGACUCCUACGGGAGGCAGCAGUGGGGAAUUUUGGACAAUGGGGGCAACCCUGAUCCAGCCAUGCCGCGUGAGUGAAGAAGGCCUUCGGGCUGUAAAGCUCUUUCGGUAGGAACGAAACGGUUACGACUAAUACUCGUGACUAAUGACGGUACUUACAGAAGAAGCACCGGCUAACUACGUGCCAGCAGCCGCGGUAAUACGUAGGGUGCGAGCGCUAAUCGGAGUUACUGGGCGUAAAGCGUGCGCAGGCGGUUAUUUAAGUCAGGUGUGAAAGCCCUGGGCUUAACCUAGGAAUAGCGCUUGAGACUGGAUAGCUUGGAGUGCGGCAGAGGGAGGUGGAAUUCCACGUGUAGCAGUGAAAUGCGUAGAGAUGUGGAGGAACACCGAUGGCGAGGCAGCCUCCUGGGCCAGCACUGACGCUCAUGCACGAAAGCGUGGGAGCAAACAGGAUUAGAUACCCUGGUAGUCCACGCCCUAAACGAUGUCGACUGGUUGUGGUGGGGUU